rnacentral:rRNA from 1 species
UGGGGGAUAUUGCACAAUGGGGGGAACCCUGAUGCAGCGACGCCGCGUGGGUGAAGGAGUGCUUCGGCAUGUAAAGCCCUAUCGGCAGGGAAGAAUAUGACGGUACCUGACUAAGAAGCCCCGGCUAACUACGUGCCAGCAGCCGCGGUAAUACGUAGGGGGCGAGCGUUAUCCGGAUUCACUGGGUGUAAAGGGAGCGUAGACGGCCAUGCAAGCCAGGGGUGAAAGCCCGGGGCCCAACCCCGGGACUGCCCUUGGAACUGUCAGGCUAGAGUGCGGGAGGGGCAGGCGGAAUUCCUGGUG